UGUGCUGCAGCUAACGCGUUAAGUUGACCGCCUGGGGACUACGGCCGCAAGGCUAAAACUCAAAGGAAUUGACGGGGACCCGCACAAGCAGCGGAGCGUGUGGUUUAAUUCGAGGCUACACGAAGAACCUUACCAGGGUUUGACAUGUCGGUGGUAGAAAGGCGAAAGCCGAUCGACCCUUCGGGGUGCCGUCACAGGUGCUGCAUGGCUGUCGUCAGCUCGUGCCGUGAGGUGUUAGGUUAAGUCCUGUAACGAGCGCAACCCUCGUCGUUAGUUACAUGUGUCUAGCGAGACUGCCGGUGAUAAGCCGGAGGAAGGUGAGGAUGACGUCAAGUCAGCAUGGCCUUUAUAUCCUGGGCUACACACACGCUACAAUGGCCGGUACAAUGGGUCGCGAAGCCGCGAGGCGAAGCCAAUCCCCCAAAGCCGGUCUCAGUUCGGAUUGCAGGCUGCAACUCGCCUGCAUGAAGUCGGAGUUGCUAGUAACCGCGCGUCAGCAAUAGUGCGGUGAAUACGUUCCCGGGUCUUGUACACACCGCCCGUCACGUCAUGGAAGUUGGCAACGCCUGAAGUCAGUGGGCUAACCCUAACGGGAGGCAGCUGCCCAAGGCGGGGUCGGUAACUGGGACGAAGUCGUAACAAGGUA
rnacentral:rRNA from 1 species